rnacentral:rRNA from 1 species
UACGUAGGGUGCAAGCGUUGUCCGGAAUUAUUGGGCGCAAAGAGCUCGUAGGCGGUUCGUCGCGUCGGCUGUGAAAUCCCGGAGCUCAACUCCGGGUCUGCAGUCGAUACGGGCGGACUCGAGUUCGGCAGGGGAGACUGGAAUUCCUGGUGUAGCGGUGAAAUGCGCAGAUAUCAGGAGGAACACCGGUGGCGAAGGCGGGUCUCUGGGCCGAUACUGACGCUGAGGAGCGAAAGCGUGGGGAGCGAACAGG